rnacentral:rRNA from 1 species
AUGGUAUUACCUCUAUCCCGUACAAAUGUACCACCACACAUGACCGGUACGCCUUGCAGUAUAUGUUCAUCUCUGGUGGCCUAUUGUUUGUUCGGUUGUUGCAUGUCAACUCGUAUAAACUGUUUUAAUUUGCAUGUUAACUUGUGUUGUGAUCAAACAUGGGAAAAUAUCACCGUUGGAAGGGAGCUCUUGGGCGACACGGCCGGCGACCGUACUAUGGAUUUAGCACUUCUGCUCUCUGGCGGGAAGGAGGUGUCUCCUGCUGGCACGUAUGGCGCCGCAUUGCUGAAGGGGGCGCAAAUCUCCUCGGCUCUCUCCUCGAGGAGGUCGGUGGGCAGGUUAUAG